AACGAACGCUGGCGGCAUGCCUAACACAUGCAAGUCGAACGAGACCUUCGGGUCUAGUGGCGCACGGGUGCGUAACGCGUGGUAACCUGCCCUUAGGUUCGGAAUAACUCCCCGAAAGGGGUGCUAAUACCGGAUAAUGUCUUCGGACCAAAGAUUUAUCGCCUUUGGAUGGGCCCGCGUUGGAUUAGCUAGUUGGUAGGGUAAAAGCCUACCAAGGCGACGAUCCAUAGCUGGUCUGAGAGGAUGAUCAGCCACACUGGGACUGAGACACGGCCCAGACUCCUACAGGAGGCAGCAGUGGGGAAUAUUGGAGAAUGGGCGAAAGCCUGAUCCAGCAAUGCCGGGGGAGUGAGGAAGGCCUUAGGGUUGUAAAGCUCUUUUAGCCGGGAUGAGAAUGACAGUACCGGGAGAAUAAGCUCCGGCUAACUCCGUG
rnacentral:rRNA from 1 species